rnacentral:rRNA from 1 species
UACGGAGGGUGCGAGCGUUGUUCGGAAGUACUGGGCGUAAAGGGCGCGUAGGCGGCCUUCUAAGUCGAACGUGAAAUCCCCAGGCUCAACCUGGGAACUGCGUCCGAUACUGGCAGGCUUGAAUCCGGGAGAGGGAUGUGGAAUUCCAGGUGUAGCGGUGAAAUGCGUAGAUAUCUGGAGGAACACCGGUGGCGAAGGCGGCAUCCUGGACCGGUAUUGACGCUGAGGCGCGAAAGCUAGGGGAGCAAACGGG